CCAAAAGAGAAAACCAGGGAAUUUAUUAAGCUUAGGGCGGAGAUGGACCACAUGAUCACCGGAUCAAAGUAUUCGGCGGCUGCGGCAUGGAGACUAUUCUGGAGAAAAUGGGCAUCCAGGGGAAGGUGCCAGCGAUGAGCUUCUGGAGCUGAUCUGGGAGGACAUGAGGCUGCAGAGCAGCAGAGAGCACAGGAGAGAAGGAAGAACUUUGACAGCUUUUUACUUUGCUAGAAAAAAAUGGUUAAUGAAGAUUAAACAUGUACAUGUAAAAGAAAUAUCUAAAUAAAAUCAGUUCUGCAUUAAA